UACGGGGGGGGCAAGCGUUGUUCGGAAUUACUGGGCGUAAAGGGUUCGUAGGUGGCCUGCUAAGUCAGACGUGAAAUCCCUCAGCUUAACUGGGGAACUGCGUCUGAGACUGGUGGGCUUGAGUGCAGGAGAGGAACGCGGAAUUCCAGGUGUAGCGGUGAAAUGCGUAGAUAUCAGGAGGAACACCGAUGGCGAAGGCAGGUCACUGGGCCGCGACUGACGCUGAGGAGCGAAAGCAUGGGGAGCGAACAGG
rnacentral:rRNA from 1 species